CGUGUAGGCGGCUAGACAAGUCAGAUGUGAAAUCCCUGGGCUUAACCCAGGAAGUGCAUUUGAAACUGUCCUGCUAGAGUAAGGGAGAGGAAAGUGGAAUUCCUGGUGUAGAGGUGAAAUUCGUAGAUAUCAGGAGGAACACCGGUGGCGAAGGCGACUUUCUGGCCCUAUACUGACGCUGAGACGCGAAAGCGUGGGUAGCAACA
rnacentral:rRNA from 1 species